GACGAACGCUGGCGGCGUGCUUAACACAUGCAAGUCGAACGGUGACGAGGAGCUUGCUCCUCUGAUCAGUGGCGAACGGGUGAGUAACACGUGAGCAACCUGCCCAGACUCUGGGAUAACAGUUGGAAACAGCUGCUAAUACCGGAUACGAGACGGAGAGGCAUCUCUACCGUCUGGAAAGUUUUUCGGUCUGGGAUGGACUCGCGGCCUAUCAGCUAGUUGGUGAGGUAAUGGCUCACCAAGGCGACGACGGGUAGCCGGCCUGAGAGGGCGACCGGCCACACUGGGACUGAGACACGGCCCAGACUCCUACGGGAGGCAGCAGUGGGGAAUAUUGCACAAUGGGCGAAAGCCUGAUGCAGCGACGCCGCGUGAGGGAUGAAGGCCUU
rnacentral:rRNA from 1 species